rnacentral:rRNA from 1 species
CACCGCGGUUAUACGAGAGACCCAAGUUGAUAGCCCUCGGCGUAAAGAGUGGUUAAGAAAUACCCCAAAACUAAAGGUAAACGACUUCAGAGCUGUUAUACGCACAUGAAAGUAUGAAAAUCAACUACGAAAGUGACUUUAAAACCCCUGAACCCACGAAAGCUAUGAUA